CAGAGUUGCAAAACUCCCAACCAUUGUGAACCUACCUCACCGUUGCUUCGGCGGGUGGCCCGGGGCAACCCAGGCCGCGCCGGCACCCUUCUUCGGGGGGCCCGGCAAGCCCGUCAGAGGAUCGAAACCCUGUAAUUACUGGCCUCUCUGAGUAACUUAUACAAUAAGUCA
rnacentral:misc_RNA from 1 species